rnacentral:rRNA from 1 species
GGAGUCUGGACCGUGUCUCAGUUCCAAUGUGGCUGAUCGUCCUCUCAGACCAGCUAUAGAUCGUCGGCUAGGUAGGCCAUUACCCCACCUACUACCUAAUCUUCCGCGGGCCAAUCUUUCGGCAAAUCUCUCCUUUCCCCCUCAGGGCGUAUGCGGUAUUAGCAGUCGUUUCCAACUGUUGUCCCCCACCAAAAGGUAUGUUCCCACGUGUUACUCACCAGUGCGCUGCUCUCAUGAUUAGUAGCAAGCUACCAACCAAUCCCGCUCAACUUGCAUGUGUUAAGCCUGCCGCCAGCGUUCGUU